rnacentral:rRNA from 1 species
CCUACACAUGCAAGUCGAGCGCGCCUUCGGGUGAGCGGCGGACGGGUUAGUAACGCGUGGGACCGUACCCUUUUCUACGGAAUAGCCUUUGGAAACGAAGAGUAAUACCGUAUACGCCCUUUGGGGGGAAGAUUUAUCGGAGAAGGAUCGGCCCGCGUUAGAUUAGAUAGUUGGUGGGGUAACGGCCUACCAAGUCUACGAUCUAUAGCUGGUUUUAGAGGAUGAUCAGCAACACUGGGACUGAGACACGGCCCAGACUCCUACGGGAGGCAGCAGUGGGGAAUCUUAGACAAUGGGCGCAAGCCUGAUCUAGCCAUGCCGCGUGAGUGAUGAAGGCCUUAGGGUCGUAAAGCUCUUUCGCCUGUGAUGAUAAUGACAGUAGCAGGUAAAGAAACCCCGGCUAACUCCGUGCCAGCAGCCGCGGUAAUACGGAGGGGGUUAGCGUUGUUCGGAAUUACUGGGCGCAAAGCGCACGUAGGCGGAUUGGAAAGUUGGGGGUGAAAUCCCGGGGCUCAACCCCGGAACUGCCUCCAAAACUAUCAGUCUAGAGUUCGAGAGAGGUGAGAGGAAUUCCAAGUGUGGAGGUGAAAUUCGUAGAUAUUUGGAGGAACACCAGUGGCGAAGGCGGCUCACUGGCUCGAUACUGACGCUGAGGUGCGAAAGUGUGGGGAGCAAACAGGAUUAGAUACCCUGGUAGUCCACACCGUAAACGAUGAAUGCCAGUCGUCGGGCAGUAUACUGUUCGGUGACACACCUAACGGAUUAAGCAUUCCGCCUGGGGAGUACGGUCGCAAGAUUAAAACUCAAAG